UACGUAGGGAGCGAGCGUUGUCCGGAAUUACUGGGUGUAAAGGGAGCGCAGGCGGGAAGACAAGUUGGAUGUCAAAUCGAUCGGCUUAACUGAUCUCCGCAUUCAAAACUGUUUUUCUUGAGUGAAGUAGAGGUUGGCGGAAUUCCUAGUGUAGCGGUGAAAUGCGUAGAUAUUAGGAGGAACACCAGUGGCGAAGGCGGCCAACUGGGCUUUUACUGACGCUGAGGCUCGAAAGCGUGGGGAGCAAACA
rnacentral:rRNA from 1 species